CAGGAGUUGAAGCUUGAUUUCUACAUGGAUACAGACUCAGGUUUGGUGCAUGUCUAAAGGGUCUUGUUAUCACAGUAUCAGACCACUUCCUAUGCUAGAAUAUUGUGAUCCUUAUGACAUCCCUGCAGCAGGACGUGGAGACCUCAGGCACCAGGAGCAGAGAAGCAUGGAGCUGGGAGAGGUCCUCUGGGUCAAGCAAUGAGAAGGAGGGUAAUAAGCAGCUCCCAGAAAUGCAGAUUAACACACAAGCUGACAUACGGACUGAGACCUAAAAUCUGUGUUACCGUGGUUGGAGGCCCAAGGUUGGCUACGUUUUGGUACCAAGUCCUUCUAUCAUCGAUGUCCACAUAUUAAAGGUAACGUCUUUGAGUGCAUGCUAAUAAGAAAGUUUGAUUGUUUGCUACAACUGAUGAUAGCUCUGCGCCUUCGUUUUUUGGCACUGCAGCCCUCAAAGACAGUUUUUUAAUGUCUGCCACACAUCCAUGUCUCAGCUUUGCUGGCGUGAAACCAGGAAAGAUGGCACAUUUCGUUUCCUGUUAUCUCCAAUGAGGGCAGGGAGCUCACACCGCUGCUCACUUCAGCUUUGCUGAGAUGUGGAUGAUUUGGCUUUUUGGGGAGUCCAUGCUUACGGUGCGCCAUCAGUGCAG
rnacentral:lncRNA from 1 species